CGAACGCUGGCUUCCUGCCUAACCGAGCNAGUNGAGCGAGAAUGGAGCUAUCCCAGUAAAGCAGCGUUUCGCUGAGUAACACGAAGAAAAUCUACCUCGAGGUGGUGGAUAACCUUCCGAAAGGAGGGCUAAUACAGCAUGAGACCACGUCCCCUCAAGGGGAUGAGGUCAAAGCGGGCCACUAUACAUAAGCUCGCGCCUUGAGAUGAGCCUGCGGCCCAUCAUGGUAGUUGGUAUGGUAACAGCCUACCAAGCCGAAGACGGGUAACUGGUCUGAGAGGAUGAUCAGCCGCACUGGAACUUAAACACAGUCCAUACUCCUACGGGAGGCAGCAGUGGG
rnacentral:rRNA from 1 species